rnacentral:rRNA from 1 species
CCUACGGGUGGCAGCAGUGAGGAAUAUUGCUCAAUGGGCGCGAGCCUGAACCAGCCAAGCAGCGUGAAGGAUGACUGCCCUCCGGGUUGUAAACUUCUUUUAUAAAGGAAUAAAGUGAGGCACGUGUGCCUUUUUGUAUGUCCUUUAUGAAUAAGGCUCGGCUAACUCCGUGCCAGCAGCCGCGGUAAUACGGAGGAUCCGGGCGUUAACCGGAUUUAGUGGGGUUAAAGGGAGCGUAGAUGGGGUGUUAAGUCAGUUGUGAAAGUUUGCGGCUCAACCGUAAAAUUGCAAUUGAUACUGGCAGUCUUGAGUACAGUUGAGGUAGGCGGAAUUCGUGGUGUAGCGGUGAAAUGCUUAGAUAUCACGAAGAACUCCGAUGGCGAAGGCAGCUUACUAAACUGCCACUGACAUUGAUGCGCGAAAGUGUGGGUAUCAAACAGGAUUAGAUACCCUUGUAGUC